rnacentral:rRNA from 1 species
GACGAACGCUGGCGGCGUGCUUAACACAUGCAAGUCGAACGAUGAAGUUCCUUCGGGAAUGGAUUAGUGGCGAACGGGUGAGGAACACGUGGGAAACCUGCCUUUCAUUUUGGGAUAACUCCGGGAAACCGGGGCUAAAACCGAAUACUCCGUCUCGGCGGCAUCGCUGAGCCGGGAAAAAAUCUUGAUGAAAGAUGGUCUCGCGGCCUAUCAGCUAGUUGGUGAGGUAAUGGCUCACCAAGGCAACGACGGGUAGCCGGCCUGAGAGGGCGACCGGCCACACUGGGACUGAGACACGGCCCAGACUCCUACGGGAGGCAGCAGUGGGGAAUAUUGGGCAAUGGGCGCAAGCCUGACCCAGCGACGCCGCGUGAGGGAUGAAGGCCUUCGGGUUGUAAACCUCUUUCAGUAGGGAAGAAGCGAAAGUGACGGUACCUAAAGAGGAAGCACCGGCUAACUAUGUGCCAGCCGCCGCAGUAA